CUUGACACUGAACACUGGUCCUUGAUGUGUAGGAUAGGUGGGAGGCUUUGAAGCGUGGACGCCAGUCUGCGUGGAGCCAUCCUUGAAAUACCACCCUUUAAUGGCUGGUGUUCUAACGUAGACCCGUAAUCCGGGUUGCGGACAGUGUCUGGUGGGUAGUUUGACUGGGGCGGUCUCCUCCCAAAGAGUAACGGAGGAGCACGAAGGUUGGCUAAUCCUGGUCGGACAUCAGGAGGUUAGUGCAAUGGCAUAAGC
rnacentral:rRNA from 1 species